rnacentral:pre_miRNA from 1 species
UUUCUCUGACGCCGUUGACUUUUUAGCACAUGUUUGACCGUUCGUCUUAUUCAAAAAAUUUAAGUAUUUAUUAUUAAUUCUUUUCCUAUCAUUUGAUUCAUUGUUAAAUAUAUUUUUAUGUAGGCAUAUAAUUUUACAUAUUUCACAAAAGUUUUUAAAUAAGACGAACGGUCAAACAUGUGCUAAAAAGUCAACGGUAUCAAACAUU